rnacentral:rRNA from 1 species
UUUUACAAUGGAGAGUUUGAUCCUGGCUCAGGAUGAACGCUAGCUAUAGGCUUAACACAUGCAAGUCGAGGGGAAACGGCAUUAUGUGCUUGCACAUUUUGGACGUCGACCGGCGCACGGGUGAGUAUCGCGUAUCCAACCUUCCCUCCACUCGGGGAUACCCCGUUGAAAGACGGCCUAAUACCCGAUGUUGUCCACAUAUGGCAUCUGACGUGGACCAAAGAUUCAUCGGUGGAGGAUGGGGAUGCGUCUGAUUAGCUUGUUGGUGCGGGUAACGGCCCACCAAGGCGACGAUCAGUAGGGGUUCUGAGAGGAAGGUCCCCCACA